rnacentral:rRNA from 1 species
GACGGGGGGUCCUAGCGUUGUUCGGAAUCAUUGGGCGUAAAGCGUGUGCAGGUGGUUUGGUAAGUUGGGUGUGAAAUCCCUCGGCUCAACCGAGGAACUGCGCUCAAAACUACCCGACUCGAGGGAGAUAGAGGAAAGCGGAACUGAUGGUGGAGCGGUGAAAUGCGUUGAUAUCAUCAGGAACACCGGUGGCGAAGGCGGCUUUCUGGGUCUUACCUGACGCUGAGGAACGAAAGCUAGGGGAGCGAACGGG